AUUGAACGCUGGCGGCAGGCCUAACACAUGCAAGUCGAGCGGAUGAAGGGAGCUUGCUCCUGGAUUCAGCGGCGGACGGGUGAGUAAUGCCUAGGAAUCUGCCUGGUAGUGGGGGAUAACGUCCGGAAACGGGCGCUAAUACCGCAUACGUCCUGAGGGAGAAAGUGGGGGAUCUUCGGACCUCACGCUAUCAGAUGAGCCUAGGUCGGAUUAGCUAGUUGGUGGGGUAAAGGCCUACCAAGGCGACGAUCCGUAACUGGUCUGAGAGGAUGAUCAGUCACACUGGAACUGUGACACGGUCCAGACUCCUACGGGAGGCAGCAGUGGGGAAUAUUGGACAAUGGGCGAAAGCCUGAUCCAGCCAUGCCGCGUGUGUGAAGAAGGUCUUCGGAUUGUAAAGCACUUUAAGUUGGGAGGAAGGGCAGUAAGUUAAUACCUUGCUGUUUUGACGUUACCAACAGAAUAAGCACCGGCUAACUUCGUG
rnacentral:rRNA from 1 species